rnacentral:rRNA from 1 species
AUGCACGCUGGCGGCGUGCCUCAUACAUGCCAGUCGAGCGAACAGAUGAGGAGCUUGCUCCUCUGACGUUAGCGGCGGACGGGUGAGUAACACGUGGAUAACCUACCUAUAAGACUGGGAUAACUUCGGGAAACCGGAGCUAAUACCGGAUAAUAUAUUGAACCGCAUGGUUCAAUAGUGAAAGACGGUUUUGCUGUCACUUAUAGAUGGAUCCGCGCCGCAUUAGCUAGUUGGUAAGGUAACGGCUUACCAAGGCAACGAUGCGUAGCCGACCUGAGAGGGUGAUCGGCCACACUGGAACUGAGACACGGUCCAGACUCCUACGGGAGGCAGCAGUAGGGAAUCUUCCGCAAUGGGCGAAAGCCUGACGGAGCAACGCCGCGUGAGUGAUGAAGGUCUUCGGAUCGUAAAACUCUGUUAUUAGGGAAGAACAAAUGUGUAAGUAACUAUGCACGUCUUGACGGUACCUAAUCAGAAAGCCACGGCUAACUACGUG